rnacentral:rRNA from 1 species
AACGAACGCUGGCGGCGUGUUUAAGACAUGCAAGUCGCACGGGAUCAUUUUGGUAGCAAUACUCGGAUGGUCCAGUGGCGCACGGGUGAGUAACACGUGAAUGACAUGCCCUUCAGUGGGGGAUAGCCCAGGGAAACUUGGAUUAAUACCCCAUGGUCUCGCGAGAGUAACGGUGGCGCAAGCUGCCGCUGGCGGUUUAGUUCGCGUUCUAUCAGCUUGUUGGCGGGGUAACGGCCCACCAAGGCUACAAGGGAUACCCGGGCUGAGAGGACGAUCAGGCACACUGGAACUGAGACACGAUCCAGACACCUACGGGUGGCAGCAGUCGAGAAUAAUUCACAAUGGGGGCAACCCUGAUGGUGCAACGCCGCGUGGAGGAUGACGGUCUUCGGAUUGUAAACUCCUGUCAUCCGGGAGCAAGACCUGGGAGUUAAUAGCUCACAGGGUUGAUAGUACCGGAAGAGGAAGGGACGGCUAACUUCGUGCCAGCAGCCGCCGUAACAC